UCAAUAGAGACGAAGAGGAGUUCAAUGGCAACAUGGGCGUCCGGUAUGGAAUCAAGGGUAAGGGAUAGCGGGACACUGCGGAGCUUCAGAUGCUCGGAGGUUGGAACGCCUUGGGCUGCAUACCCUGCUAGGUACCAUUCUUUGCUCUCCGCAAUCUCCGCCGUCUUCUCACUUUUUCUCAUUGUAUCCCUCUUGUCUCCGAUUCUCUACAGACUGCAGUCUAUAGAUAAUUUAAUCAGCGAAUGAAUUCGGCUUCUAAUGGAAUACAGGUGGGUGAGUUUUGUUGGUUUGGAGCUCUAACUGCCAGCUUAAUUUGUCAUAUGUGAAUAUUAUCUUUCACCUAACACCUUAACGUCAUAAACACGUUGCUCUUCGGAUAGUAGAGUCCUGACAAUACUAUCUUAUACUAUUUUAACAGUGUGUAGAUCGGUCAACUUAUCAAGAUAAUACUAAUCAUAAGCGUUUCAUAGAUCAGACAUAUAACCAAGGUAUUCUAGCGGUGUUCAAGACUCUGGCGCCUUCCUAGCUUAACGUCGAACUGAUAGUCUGACUUUUAUGGAGAUAUAUCUUUCACUAUAGUAACUUACUAUUAGCAACUCUAGUUCUCAACCUUCUUCUUGUAGAUCUUCUUUUAGUUUGUCUUCUCCUCCUUCUCCUGUAUUUAAAAAGUCUUCUUCUUCUAAGUUUAAGUUCUUAUAUGAAGUAGAUUAUAUCCUAGAAGAAAAGAAAACCCAACAAACAGUUUUUCCCCUUGUAAAUCCUUAUACAAUUUUCUCAAACUCCUCCCAUUCUCUUACUAGAUCUUUAAAAACUCUUUUAAAACCAAAAUUCUAAACUCCAAAAGAGUAUGUUCAAGCCACAAACUUUGAUCAAUGUAUUCUUCCAGUAAGACCUCAAGAGCACUUUGUUACUCAUCAGAUCCCAGAAAAAUUUUCUCAAUAAUGGUCAGAACAAGGAUACACUCAUAUCCACUUUUGGUGCUAUCAGAAUAGCCUUAACCUUCCACGACAGAAAUGGAAUUUUGUAUGUACCAGAAUGGCCUUAUUGGACACAAGAUUUAAAGAAUACAAGCAUGCAAUCCUUGGCUUUUCCCUUCUUCUCAGAAACCUCACCUUGAUGAUGAAUUUGAUUUACCUGAUGAAUUUCUUAACCUUCCAGUGAAAAAUCUUCCUCCAGAGUUACCAAGACUUCUUGUCACUCAAACCCUUGACCAAAAAGCCUUACACCUCUUGCUCAAAUACCAGUCCAAAAUACUUUCUUGUGCAUUUAUCUUAGAGGAUGAGUUAACUGUGUAAGAUCUGAGAAAAUUUACUCAUGUAAUUUAUUAUACCGAGAAAUUACUGGAUUUGCUUCUUUGAAAAAUCAGAAAAAUCUACAAGUGUCUGAACAAUGUGAGGUUGAGCUAUGUACUGACCAUCUUGUACAUGCAUGCCUAAGAAAUCAAUUUUUGAAGUACCAAUGAUCAUUUUUUUCUCUGAAAGUAUUAUCCAAUACUGUUGAACAAUUUGCUGGAACUUAUCCAAUGGCGCAUAUAGAAGCUUCCUGGAUGAUGAUAAUGUUCCAAAAAAGCAAAAGAAGAAAAAAUCUUCCCAGUAAAAACUCAAAGAAAGAUAUGAGAAUUGAGACCUUGAAGUUGAUCUCCUUGCUGAACCCUCAGGAAAGUUUGGCUACUAUGUCAUCUAUCCAUCCCUUGUAACAAACCUUUCUUUAUAAAAUAUGUUUGGCUAAAAACCUUUUUUCUCUUUUGGUAAUUCCAUCUUCCUUCUUCUAUAGUUAAAAUUGUAGCUUCAUAUUUCUCUUCAAGUAAUUCCAUAGUUUAUAGUUAUAUAAGUUGAGUAUGUUUUGCAAUUGCCAUAAUAUUAUGGAUCCUCUGCAUCAAAAAUUCUUGUUAAACUGUUAAACAGAUUAUUGAUCUCUUUCCUUUAGCCAAAAAAAAGUUAUACUGACCUAAGAUCAUACUAAUAGUAAGUUACUAUAAUAAAAUACAUAUAUAAUUCCACAAGAAAGUGAUAUCCGAUGAUGUGAAAUUCAAAUCUUUGGAUUCCAUACUUUACAACUAAAAUAAUAAAAAAACCAAAAAUAACAAAAAGCGAAAUACAAUUAUAUGUGUAUACAUACAUUAGUUUUUUUAAAAAAUUAUCUAAUUAAAAAACAAAAGAAUUAAAGGAAGAAAUUUUUUUUUAAAAGUAUAAACAUAUGAAAAAGGAAAAAAUUAAGUUGUCAUGUGACAUUAUCAAUAAUAAGAUUUUCUUACAAAUUUUAUAUCAUAGAUUUUUAUUUUUUAUUUUGAAUUUAUUUUUUUCUUUUUUCCCUUUUUAUAUUUAAUAUUUUUAUUUUUAGAGCUAAUUUGAUGUUAUUGAAUUAAAAUCAUUAAUCUUCUACUAUAAAUAAAAAAAACAAAAAAAAAAAUCAAAUUUAGAUGUAAUGUUGACACCUUCAUUAAUAUAUUUUUUCAACAAAAUUAUCUAAUUACAAAAAGGUUACAAAAAGAUAUUUUUAAUCAAUAAUAUAAAAUUUGCCACAUCCAUAAUAAAUAAAAAAAGAAAAAGAGAAGAGAAAAACUUAAAAAAAGAAAAAAGAAACGACAAAAAACACAAAAAAUAAAAAGGAAAGAAAGUUGAGUUGACACAAGGCACAUAGUAUUAGUAAUUUGUUUUUUUGAAAAACUUUUAUAUUAAGUUUUAAAAAAAUAAAAAAAAAUCAAAUUCUAAUAUGACAUUAACACUUAUGUUAGUAUCAAUUUAAAAAAAUUUAUCAAAGUAAAAAGGUAACUAAAAAAUAUUUUUAAUAAUAAUAAUAAUAAUAAUAAUAAUAUCAAAUGGGCCUAACAUCAAAAAAUAAAAAUAUUUCACAAAUAUUUAUUAAAUAAAAAAGAAAAAUUGUAAAAAAAACAAAAAAACAAAAAAAAAGCAAAAGAAAAAGAAAAAAGAAUUAAAUUACUUAACAUGUAACAUAAUUUUGAUAUUAGGUGAGGCACCAAAAAUGAAAUUUAAAAAAAAUUAUUUAUUAAAUAUAUAAAAAUUAAAAAUGAGAAAAAAUUAAAAAAAACACAUAGCAUAUCCUUGGAUUUAAAAAAAUAUAUAAAAAUAUUAAUUAAGCUUGUUUAAAAAAAAAUUGAUAUAAGUGAAUCUAACCAAAAAAAAAAACAUAUAUUAAACAUUUAAAAAUAAAAAAUGAAAAUUUAUGCAGGACCCGAUGAAAAAGAAUUUAAAAACAAAGAUAAAAUUGGAUUUCACAGAAAAUACAAUAGAAAAGUCGAUUUCAUGUUUUAAAAAUUAUGAAUAUAAGGUAUUAAAUUCUUAUUAUUUAUUCAAAAGAUAAUAAAAGAUAUAAAAAGCUUUUCUUAAAAUAUAAUAAAAAUUUUUUUUUAAAAAUAAUUAAAAGUAUAAAAAAUUUAAACUAUAUAAAUACAUUAAAAAUUAAUAUUAAACCAUUGAGAAAAGUGAUGCCAUUUAAAAUAUAGUGACUCCCACUAUAAAAUAAAAUUGUUUUAUAACAAUUAUAUUAUUAUAUAUAUAUUAAUUAUAGAAGAAAAAGGAAGUGACAAAAAAAAAAAAAGCCACCGUGGCACAAUAGUAAAAUUUUCUUUUAACAUUUCUAUUAGAUGUGGAAAAAUAUUGGCGUUAUUAUAUUUGUCCCGCCAUUCAUUGCAACGCGAAAGUUAUAACCAAUAGAAUUAUUAAUUUACAAAUACAAAUGAAAAUUGCGUAGCGAAAGGUGUUAAAAGAAGGCGAGGCGGGGCCAGCGCACUUUGUGAUGUCAAAUUUAUUCAAAUUCAACGAGAAAUAAGAUAUUUUAUUACAAUGAAAAUGGGAUGAUAUUUAUAAAAAAAAAAAACAUAGCAUGGCUAUUAAAUUUUGAGAAAGAAAAAAUAUAUAUAAUUUUAAAAUAUUUGUCAAAUAUGGAGAUGAGAACAAAUAAUGUAGUACGCUCUUGUAUAUGUAAUCGAUAUAUAUUAUAUAGUUAAUAAAUAAAAUCGUAUUAGUCCUUCAAAUAUUUUAAGUUAUUUGUAAAUUUUUGUUUAUUUUAAAUUAUUGUUGCUUAAAUUUAUUUUAAUGUUUAUUAUAUUUAUUUUAAAUAUUUAUAUUUGAUAUAUUACGAAUGAAUUACUCAAAGAUAUUUCAUAAAAUGCAUUUAAUCUUACAAUAAUUUACAAUUAAUUUUUUAUACAAUAUUGUUAUGUAAUUAAUUAACAAUGAAUAUUAUUUAUAAAUUCACAUUACAUCAAAUCUAAAUUUUUAUUUUAAUAUAUAUGUAUUAUUUAUAAGUUUUUAUUUAUUUUAAAAAAUAUUAAAUAUUUUGAUGUUUACUUUUAAUUUUUUAAAGAAUCUCAAAUAAUGAGGAUCUUUUAUACGCGUUCAAUUUUCAUAAAGAUGAAGACGAAAAUUGGUAUAUAUUUUUACUCAAAAAAAUAGGAGUGCAAAAAUAUAGAUAUUUUAACAAACAAAGAUGAAAAUGCAAAAUGCUAACCAAAUAUCAUAAGUAUCAAUGUCAGGUUCUAUAUGGUAAAACAAAAUGUACUUGUGGAAAACGAAAGAAGAAAUACCAGACUGCUCGUAAAGCGAAAUAUAGAAAAUUUUAAAUCAUGUCCGGUAAAUAUACUUGAUUGGUUGUCAUGUCAAACAUCAUCAUAAUAAGAAUUAAUCAAGGAGUAGCAUAAUUUUAAAUUAUCCGUAAAUAAAUAUGAAUUACUAAGUAGAAAUUUUAUUUUGGAAGAAAUUGAAUCUCAUAGUUUAAAAUAUAAUAUAAAUAUUAGGAUAUGCAAAUGAUAUGAUAAAAUAAAAUAAUAAAAUUUAUAAUUUUAAUAAUUAUUAUUAUGAGUUUAAUAAAGUUAAAAAAUAUUUUUUUAUUUUAUAUUAAUACAAAUUAUAUCAUGUGAUUUUAUAUAAAAAUAAGAUAAUCUAAAUGAGACUAAGAAGUGUGGUCCUAAGUCAUCACACUGUAAAAAAAUCAUGCUUAAUGACUCCCUUUUCAAGCACCGCACCCACUUUCUCACCAAAUAAUCAUCAUUUUCAGCGGUAAUCAAAAGGUGGGGUCGCUAUGCCAAAAAAAAAAGAAAAAAGGUAGGGUUGCUUCACACAAAAAAAAAAGAGGUUGGUGGGUCGAAAAUUGAAAAUAAAUAGUAAUUAAGAAAAAGGUUAAUGAUUUUAAUAAUCUCUAAAUUAUAAUAAAAUAUUUAAUAUGAUAUUUAAAUUAAAAGAUUUUAAUAUAGUAUUUGAAUUAUAAAUUUAUAAUUAAUAUGAUAUUAAUUUUUAAUAUAAUUAAUCUUAAAUAAUAAUUUAUGAUAAAUAAAUAAUUAUCUAAUUAUCAUAUUAAUUAAUAUAUUUAUAAUUUAAAUAUAAUGUUAAAAUUUUUUAAAAUUUUAAUAUUAUAUUAAAUAUUUUAUUAUAAUUCAAGAUUAUUGAGAUCAUUGACUUUAGAAUAGGGGAUAUUAUUUUAUUAUAAUUCAAGAUUAUUGAGAUCAUUGACUUUAGAAUAGGAGAUACUAUUACUAGCUAGUAUGUUGAGAACUGGAGUACCUUGGCACCAGAUCCUGUGCUUCCAAUGACUCUACAACCCUCGAGCUUAGCCAAUUGUCCCGCAAACAUUCCUACACCACCUGCUGCCGCUGAUAUGAAGACGUUUGAGCCUGGCUUUGGGUCUCCCAGCCCUUGUAUCCCCACCCAUGCAGCAAACCCAGGAACCCCUGCAAUAUCAUAUCAUGUAAAUGUAUAAGACCUAUGAAUCAUUAUCAUAUAUAAUUAGUGACAAAAUAAAUACUACUUACUAAACUAUUCCUAGAUGGAGUAGUUGCAAGUAAUAAUUAACUACCAAAACAACUGAGAUAUUCUGGCAAGGGAAUCCCAGCAGCCGGAUCAAUCUUCCUUAUCAGGACAUCAGAAGGCACCACACAGUAUUCGGCUACAGGGAAGAAAGCAUUCAGCACAAUAUCACCCUCAUCGUACUUAUUAUCCUUGGAUCUGAUUACUCUUCCAAUUCCAAAAGUAGUUAUCACCUGCUCGCCUCAUUAAAGUAUAUACAUAUGCUUAAUUUUUAACAGAGUAGUAGUACUACUGCAGAAUUACAAACUAAGUAAUAGUAAUUCUUGGCUUGGGUUUGCUAUAUAUAUAUAUAUAUAUAUGUAGUAGGUAUGAAAUGAAAUUAAGAAACAAACCUGGUUAAGGCUGAACUGCGGAAAAUAUAAGCCAUCGUCGUGGCCGCUCAUUCGGGUACGAAGAUAAGGAUCAAUAGAGACGAAGAGGAGUUCAAUGGCAACAUGGGCGUCCGGUAUGGAAUCAAGGGUAAGGGAUAGCGGGACAAUGCGGAGCUUCAGAUGCUCGGAGGUUGGAACGCCUUGGGCUGCAUACCCUGCUAGGUACCAUUCUUUGCUCUCCGCAAUCUCCGCCGUCUUCUCACUUUUUCUCAUUGUAUCCCUCUUGUCUCCGAUUCUCUACAGACUGCAGUCUAUAGAUAAU
rnacentral:lncRNA from 1 species